CACAGAGUUAGCCGGUGCUUAUUCUGUCGGUAACGUCAAAACAGCAAAGUAUUAAUUUACUGCCCUUCCUCCCAACUUAAAGUGCUUUACAAUCCGAAGACCUUCUUCACACACGCGGCAUGGCUGGAUCAGGCUUUCGCCCAUUGUCCAAUAUUCCCCA
rnacentral:rRNA from 1 species